AACGAACGCUGGCGGCAUGCCUAACACAUGCAAGUCGAACGAGACCUUCGGGUCUAGUGGCGCACGGGUGCGUAACGCGUGGGAACCUGCCCUUAGGUUCGGAAUAACUCCCCGAAAGGGGUGCUAAUACCGGAUAAUGUCUUCGGACCAAAGAUUUAUGGCCUUUGGAUGGGCCCGCGUUGGAUUAGCCAGUUGGUAGGGUAAAAGCCUACCAAGGCGACGAUCCAUAGCUGGUCUGGGAGGAUGAUCAGCCACACUGGCACUGAGACACGGCCCAGACUCCUACGGGAGGCAGCAGUGGGGAAUAUUAGACGAUGGGCGAAGGCCUGAUCCAGCAAUGCCGCGUGAGUGAUGAAGGCCUUAGGGUUGUAAAGCUCUUUUACCCGGGAUGAUAAUGACAGUACCGGGAGAAUAAGCUCCGGCUAACUCCGUG
rnacentral:rRNA from 1 species